rnacentral:snRNA from 1 species
AGGUCUGAGCCCCUCACUGCUCCAUGUGUGUCCCUUCCAGGGCAGUGCACUUGGUCGAAAAGGACAACCUGCCACGAAUAGAGACCAAUCUGUCUUUAGUGAAGGGUAUAUGUGUAGCUGCACUUCCCUGCUAGAACCUCUAAACAAGUUCUCAAGGUCCAUAGUAUGGUACAACAGAAAAAGAAAAUAUCUUCGGUGGCCAUACUUCUUUUUGUUUACCUGA